ACCUUAUCUUAGCGGCGGACGGGUGAGUAAUGCUUAGGAAUCUGCCUAUUAGUGGGGGACAACAUUCCGAAAGGAAUGCUAAUACCGCAUACGUCCUACGGGAGAAAGCAGGGGAUCUUCGGACCUUGCGCUAAUAGAUGAGCCUAAGUCGGAUUAGCUAGUUGGUGGGGUAAAGGCCUACCAAGGCGACGAUCUGUAGCGGGUCUGAGAGGAUGAUCCGCCACACUGGGACUGAGACACGGCCCAG
rnacentral:rRNA from 1 species